rnacentral:rRNA from 1 species
UACGGAGGAUGCAAGCGUUAUCCGGAUUCACUGGGUUUAAAGGGUGCGUAGGCGGGCUGGUAAGUCAGUGGUGAAAUCUUCGAGCUUAACUCGGAAACUGCCUUUGAUACUAUCUGUCUUGAAUAUUGUGGAGGUAAGCGGAAUAUGUCAUGUAGCGGUGAAAUGCUUAGAGAUGACAUAGAACACCUAUUGCGAAGGCAGCUUACUACGCAUAUACUGACGCUGAGGCACGAAAGCGUGGGGAUCAAACAGG